UGGGGAAUAUUGCACAAUGGGCGCAAGCCUGAUGCAGCCAUGCCGCGUGUGUGAAGAAGGCCUUCGGGUUGUAAAGCACUUUCAGCGAGGAGGAAGGUGGUGAACUUAAUACGUUCAUCAAUUGACGUUACUCGCAGAAGAAGCACCGGCUAACUCCGUGCCAGCAGCCGCGGUAAUACGGAGGGUGCAAGCGUUAAUCGGAAUUACUGGGCGUAAAGCGCACGCAGGCGGUUUGUUAAGUCAGAUGUGAAAUCCCCGGGCUCAACCUGGGAACUGCAUUUGAAACUGGCAAGCUAGAGUCUCGUAGAGGGGAGUAGAAUUCCAGGUGUAGCGGUGAAAUGCGUAGAGAUCUGGAGGAAUACCGGUGGCGAAGGCGGCCCCCCUGGACGAAGACUGACGCUCAGGUGCGAAAGCGUGGGGCAGCAAACAGGAUUAGAUACCCUGGUAGUCCACGCUGUAAAACGA
rnacentral:rRNA from 1 species